AGGAUCCGUUAGGUGUGAACGUGAGGGUGUGUUGUUGCAUGUUUCUGCGUGGUUCUGUGAUCAGUGUACCCCACUGUAACUCAACAGUGGCUGGGCGGGUUCCAGCUCCCCAGAGAGGAUUAAGCAGGUUAAAAAAUGAAUAAAAUAUAUAUUCUUGUGUUUAUUUGUCAACUGAUGUGUCUUCUCCGUCUCUGCAGGGGGGUUGCAUUACUAAGCUGGAGCAGUUCCUAGCAGACCACUUGUUAGUCAUUGGAGCUGUGGGCAUCGGAGUGGCUUGUCUCCAGGAUGAAUGUAUUCAGUCCUAUUAAUUAAUUGAUCUCUGAAUAAAUCAGAUUCACACUUUGAAUCCUCCCAGA